rnacentral:ribozyme from 1 species
UCAAAGACGCUCGUCAUGGGGGGUGGUCAAGCCGAUCAAAGGGUAGACUUUGGAGCAGAAGUAAGGCUGGCGCUUCGGCAACUGGAGACGCUAGGAUGGAGAGAGCUGAGGCCGUGGGAGGAAUUUU